rnacentral:rRNA from 1 species
AGCGAACGCUGGCGGCAGGCUUAACACAUGCAAGUCGAGCGGGCAUCUUCGGAUGUCAGCGGCAGACGGGUGAGUAACACGUGGGAACGUACCCUUCGGUUCGGAACAACUCUGGGAAACUGGAGCUAAUACCGGAUACGCCCUUAUGGGGAAAGGUUUACUGCCGAAGGAUUGGCCCGCGUCUGAUUAGCUAGUUGGUGGGGUAACGGCCUACCAAGGCGACGAUCAGUAGCUGGUCUGAGAGGAUGAUCAGCCACACUGGGACUGAGACACGGCCCAGACUCCUACGGGAGGCAGCAGUGGGGAAUAUUGGACAAUGGGCGCAAGCCUGAUCCAGCCAUGCCGCGUGAGUGAUGAAGGCCUUAGGGUUGUAAAGCUCUUUUGUCCGGGACGAUAAUGACGGUACCGGAAGAAUAAGCCCCGGCUAACUUCGUG